CCUACGGUGCGCAGCAGUGGUUAAUAUUGCACAAUGGGGGAAACCCUGAUGCAGCAACGCCUCGUGAGUGAAGAAGUUUUUCGGAUUGUAAAGCUCUGUUAGCAGGGAAGAGGAAGGACGGUACCUGCAGAGGAAGCCACGGCUAACUACGUGCCAGCAGCCGCGGUAAUACGUAGGUGGCAAGCGUUGUUCGGAAUAACUGGGCGGAAAGGAUGCGUAGGCCGUUACAAAAGUUAUAUUUUAAAUAUAUAGGCUUAAACUGUAGAAAGCAUAUAAAACUGUUUAACUAGAGUGCAGGAGAGGUAAGUGGAAUUCCUAGUGUAGCUGUGAAAUGCGUAGAGAUUAGGAAGAACACCAGUGGCGAAGGCGACUUACUGGACUGUAACUGACGCUGAGGCAUGAGAGCAUGGGGAGCAAACAGGAUUAGAUACCCCAGUAGUC
rnacentral:rRNA from 1 species